CUUAAACAACAACAAAGGGUAUCUACAUUUUUUUUAUUAUUUCUAAUUCCUCUCAUUGUUUACUAUGCAAACAAAGUUGCAUGGGGCUGAAUUUCCUCAUCUUAUAAGGUUUUUCAAUUGUCUGGUUUUGAAGUAAUAUUUUAGUGGGGGUGAAAUUCUCCCAUCUGGAAAUGAGCAUUUUUAUCUACCAAGCCAUACAUAGUGUGCCAUGUGAUUGUAAAGAUUUUAUUAGGCUAAAUGGUAAAUUCCUUCCAUGCGAUUGUGAAGUUUUUAUUAGAUUGAACAGUGAUUUUCGUAAAAGUGUAAUAGGAUAGUGGUGCUUCAUGACAAUGAGUGCAGAGUGGAAAAUAGUAUAUUUCUUAACAUGAGCUUAAUUGAGAUGAAGAUGUUAUGAUGUACAUGUGAAAACACAAGAAUGGACCUUGUAAAAAUGAUGCAUCUGUGGGAAUGCACAACAAUUCAUAUGAUAAUAAAGUUGAGCAGGAGUUGAAAUCAAAUGUUUAGAAAAGCAAGUGGAUUUAAGCAGUAGAAAAGAAAAAGAGAAUUGGAUUGACCAAAAAUGAUUGGAAUGGUAAAAAAUGAUGAAAUAUCACACUAGUUCUUGACUAAGAGUUUAUCUUUUCUACUGCUUAUCUGUAGGCAGAGCUAAUGGAGGAAAAUUAUCUAUAGUAUUUCUUGACGAAGAGUUGAGUAUAUCCCAAGUGAUAAACAAUAAAUUCUGCUAUUAGUGAACUCUAGAAAUGCACAAUAAGGUAUCAGAAUGCUUAUCAUGGGGAAAAUCAUUCUCGUUUACUUUUCAACCUCUUGGGGUUUUUCAGUUGUGAUAUUCACUGCUACUCCAUCCUUAAAGAACUGGCUGUAGCCCCAUUAUGAAGAAGUUAGACAAUCCUGCAUUGUUGUUAUUUUCUAUUGUUCGGUUGUAACUCAUUAAAAUGUCAAAUGGGGUGCAGCCCAUGCACCAAGCAAAAAUGGAAAAGGGGGUUAGAGGAGCCAAACACAAAAUAGAAUUAGAGGGACUUCAAUGAAACAAUAUGAUGUUUGAUGGUUAUCUUUUACAGCUACUGACCUUUUCCUCUAUCCUAGUAAUCUUGGGCUUGAUUCUGUUCA
rnacentral:misc_RNA from 1 species